AGUGAACGCUGGCGGUAGGCCUAACACAUGCAAGUCGAACGGCAGCACAGUAAGAGUUUGCUCUUACGGGUGGCGAGUGGCGGACGGGUGAGGAAUACAUCGGACUCUACUUUUUCGUGGGGGAUAACGUAGGGAAACUUAGGCUAAUACCGCAUACGACCUACGGGUGAAAGCAGGGGAUCUUCGGACCUUGCGCGAUUGAAUGAGUCGAUGUCGGAUUAGCUAGUUGGCGGGGUAAAGGCCGACCAAGGCGACGAUCCGUAGCUGGUCUGAGAGGAUGAUCAGCCACACUGGAACUGAGACACGGUCCAGACUCCUACGGGAGGCAGCAGUGGGGAAUAUUGGACAAUGGGCGCAAGCCUGAUCCAGCCAUACCGCGUGGGUGAAGAAGGCCUUCGGGUUGUAAAGCCCUUUUGUUGGGAAAGAAAAGCAGCAGGUUAAUACCCCGCUGUUCUGACGGUACCCAAAUAAUAAGCACCGGCUAACUUCGUG
rnacentral:rRNA from 1 species